UACAGAGGGGGCAAGCGUUGUUCGGAAUUACUGGGCGUAAAGGGCGCGUAGGCGGUGUGUCGCGUCGGCCGUGAAAACCUGCAGCUUAACUGUGGGCUUGCGGUCGAUACGGGCAUCACUGGAGUUCGGCAGGGGAGACUGGAAUUCCUGGUGUAGCGGUGAAAUGCGCAGAUAUCAGGAGGAACACCGGUGGCGAAGGCGGGUCUCUGGGCCGAUACUGACGCUGAGGAGCGAAAGCGUGGGGAGCGAACAGG
rnacentral:rRNA from 1 species